rnacentral:rRNA from 1 species
UACGGAGGGUGCAAGCGUUAAUCGGAAUUACUGGGCGUAAAGCGCGCGUAGGCGGUCUGUUAAGUCAGCUGUGAAAGCCCCGGGCUCAACCUGGGAAUUGCAGUUGAUACUGGCAGACUUGAAUGCGGGAGAGGGAGGUAGAAUUCCAUGUGUAGCGGUGAAAUGCGUAGAUAUAUGGAGUAAUACCAGUGGCGAAGGCGGCCUCCUGGCCUGACAUUGACGCUGAGGUGCGAAAGCGUGGGGAGCAAACAGG